rnacentral:rRNA from 1 species
AGUGAACGCUGGCGGUAGGCCUAACACAUGCAAGUCGAACGGCAGCACAGUAAGAGCUUGCUCUUACGGGUGGCGAGUGGCGGACGGGUGAGGAAUACAUCGGAAUCUACUUUUUCGUGGGGGAUAACGUAGGGAAACUUACGCUAAUACCGCAUACGACCUACGGGUGAAAGCAGGGGAUCUUCGCACCUUGCGCGAUUGAAUGAGACGAUGUCGGAUUAGCUAGUUGGCUGGGUAAAGGCCCACCAAGGCGACGAUCCGUAGCUGGUCUGAGAGGAUGAUCAGCCACACUGGAACUGAGACACGGUCCAGACUCCUACGGGAGGCAGCAGUGGGGAAUAUUCGACAAUGGGCGCAAGCCUGAUGCAGCCAUACCGCGUGAGUGAAGAAGGCCUUCGGGUUGUAAAGCCCUUUUGUUGGGAAAGAAAAGCAGCAGGUUAAUACCCCGCUGUUCUGACGGUACCCAAAGAAUAAGCACCGGCUAACUUCGUG